GUUUAGUUGCAAACAGGUCAAGCUGUGCACUCUAGACAGACUGCCGUGGACGAACACGGAGGAAGGUGGGGAUGACGUCAAAUCAUCAUGCCCCGUUAUGAUCUGGGCUACACACGUGCUACAAUGGCCGGUACAACGGGCAGCGAAGGAGCGAUCCGGAGCGAAUCCUAAAAAGCCGGUCCCAGUUCGGAUUGCAGGCUGAAACUCGCCUACAUGAAGUUGGAGUUGCUAGUAAUCGCGAAUCAGAAUGUCGCGGUGAAUGCGUUCCCGGGUCUU
rnacentral:rRNA from 1 species